rnacentral:snRNA from 1 species
UUGCUCGCCUUGGCAGCACAUAAACUAAAUUGGAAGAUUAGCAUGGCCCCUGCACAAGAAUGAUGCUCUGGUUCUCUCUUUCU